CAGUCCGCUCCAACGAGCGGACCGCUCAUAACGGUCUGGUUGCAGGUUCGAGUCCUGCCGGGCCCACCA
rnacentral:tRNA from 1 species